rnacentral:lncRNA from 1 species
AUCGCGAUUCAUUUUUUUAAUCUCUUGACAGCCCUAAAACUUAUAUAUAUUUUUGUCUCCACUUGUAGCUAGGAGAAACUAAUUCACAUUUCCCUGGGCUGCUACAGGAGAUGGUGGAAACUGGCAAAAUCAGCAGUGCAGUGCCACAGAACAAUGACGGUUUCUGCUACCCUGGCUGCAUACUCGCUAUCAAAUUCCCCCAAGGGAGAGAAAGCAAGCAAACGCCUUAGAGUUAUCUACGAAAUUCACAAAAAGUCACUUCUUUGUAAAUUAUUAUGUGCCAGGAAAACAUCAAGAGAAAUAGUCUCAAGAACACAGGCAAAGGAAUCUGGGAGAAGGAAUAUGGGUCUUCAAAACAAAUGCUGUAGUGCUAUAGGCAGUAAAUCUCAUUAACGGGACUUUGUGUCAAGGCAGAAACCAGUAUAGUGACAAUAAUAAUCCCAUUUAUUUACAUAGCGCCAAAUAUAUCGUUGCCACUUUCCGAUAAAACAAAGGCAGAUUCCUCAAUGGCAGAGGGCGGAUCGAAGGACCCAAUCAGUUUCUUCCAUCCCUAACUUCUGUGAAUCUCAGAUAAAUAUACCACUUUGGAGAGAGGGGAGUGGGGGAAUCUCCGAUCUCCAUUAGACACUCAGCUCCAAGUUAGAGACAACAAGCGUUUCCCCUUCAGGCCCCAGAGGAAGGAAAUCAAUGCAUCUGCAGAGAAAGAAGAAGCCAUUGAGUUGUUUUGAAUGAAAAUGUGAUUGGGUUGUGGGGUUUUUUAGAGGAUUGAUCUAAAAGGAGAGUGAGGAGACAAGAAAGGGAGACAGAAGACAUUGGCCUGCUGCUGUCUGACUGGCAGAUUCCAGUUAACACCUUAUCAGCAGAGCAGCAGGCAGCAGCAAAUCCUCGCCCGCUGAAGCUACACAGCGAAAGGAAGAGGGGAGGGUGUUCUGUAACCAGGGACGACAACAGCAACACUCCACAGAGCUACCGGGAGGAUAGAGAGAGAGACACACACACAAUAACCUUCCUUCCCAGGCUGUGCAAGCAAGGGCAGGGGAGGAAAAACAAAUCCACCUGCAGUGUUUCAUUUUUUAUGAAGAGAAACCAUGACUGAAAUGUAACCACAGCUCUGGUCGCUGUAAAAAAACCGAACCCCAAAGCCCUCUCCCCAAGUGUAAUGUAGCAAUUCUGUUGGUUAGCGUUAUUCUUCAAUUGAAGAGUGGGGUAAACUCCUCCAGGACUGAAAUCCCAUCUCCCAGAAGGUGGGAGCACCACUAAAACAAAAGCAAUUCUUCCCUCUCCCCCUUACUCCAUUGCUGCUGCUGCUUUUGUGUUUUUUAAAGAAACAUUGUUCUAGGAAGGAGAGGAGAUUGGAAGAAGAACCCGAGGUGAUUUUGAAUUGUUUUUAAAG